UUCCCUGCAUAUUUCUGAUCUCUCUCACCCUUUUUCAGGGCUCCACGCUGGCCGGGAGGAUGAAAGGCCCCAGCUGGGGGCUCCUUGCCACCAGCGCUGGGUCCUAAGAGCUGCCAUCCAGGCUGGGUGAGUGUCCCCUGCCUUUCUCUGUCCCAGCACUCUUUGGCUUCUCCCAUAUUUUUUCAGCCCUUAUCUCCUCCCAUCUUGUGCCUCUGCCAACAUCUUCACAUCUUGAUUCUGGGUAGGUUUAAGCCCCUUCCUGUAGCCAAAAAGGUGUAUACUAUGGUGGGGGUGGGAGGGAGCUGUUGAGAUGUUAUAGAGCUGGUGUUAUCUUAUGCAAAGAAUCUAUUCUAAAAAUAAAAUUUCCUUGUUUUACAUUUAAUUUGGCAUAUAACAAAUUCAGUGUCCAGCCCCUAAUGCCCUGGCCCUAUGACAUAAUUUAAAUCCCUUGUUUCUUGCUCUUUGGUGCCCAGGGGUCUCUGAUCAUACCUCCUCCCCCACCUCAUCUUACUGAGUUGGACAAACCAAAAACACCCCUUCUGGGCCUCUCUAUAUUUCAUGUAUUCAUGCCAGUCUUUCAUCCUUGCCCCUUACAGCCGCCCGGAUGGCGACCCCAGCCUCGGCCCCAGACACACGGGCUCUGGUGGCCGACUUUGUAGGCUAUAAGCUGAGGCAGAAGGGUUAUGUCUGUGGAGCUGGCCCUGGGGAGGGCCCAGCAGCUGAUCCACUGCACCAAGCCAUGCGGGCAGCUGGAGAUGAGUUCGAGACCCGCUUCCGGCGCACCUUCUCUGAUCUGGCAGCUCAGCUGCAUGUGACCCCGGGUUCAGCUCAGCAACGCUUCACCCAGGUCUCUGACGAACUUUUCCAAGGGGGUCCCAACUGGGGUCGUCUUGUGGCCUUCUUUGUCUUUGGGGCUGCCCUGUGUGCUGAGAGUGUCAACAAAGAGAUGGAGCCACUGGUGGGACAAGUGCAGGAGUGGAUGGUGGCCUACCUGGAGACGCGGCUGGCUGACUGGAUCCACAGCAGUGGGGGCUGGGUAAGAAGUUUCUCAAAUGCUGCUCUGCACAUCCCUCUGCAAAGCUGUUCUCCAGGGGGAAUAUGGGGGCUCUGAUUGGAGGCUGGGACAGCUGUGCUGGGAAGGAGGCAUGGGGCUGAAUUCUCCUAUUUAGGUGGAGUCAGACUGAGGUUCCCUCACCGAGCAUCACAUUGGACUCUGUACUCCAGGGCUGCCAUACAGUUAUCACUGCAUGGGCUUAUGGUCCCAAGCAAAGGACAGAAUACACAGUACCCAAGAAGUGCCUGCAGGGAAAGGUGUUACACCUGAGUAUAUGGCACGAGAGGUGGGGAGGAUCAGGGAUGGGUGGUGGUCAGGCAAGCCUUGGCAAAGGAUGCCAGUUCUAAGCAGAAUUUUUCAUCAAGGAAAGGAUGAGGCAGUGAGUGCAAGUGAGCCAGGCACUGGGGCAGAGGGGCUGCACAUGGGGGGAUCAGAGGGCUUGCAGUUGGUAGAGCUUUGGCUGGAGAGGAGCUGGGUAUGGGAUAGUGCUCGCAGUGGAUGGAACUGGAACUCUUCCUCUCCUCUUCUCUCCACUCUUUCCUCUCCUGAUAUCCCUUUCUCCUUCUUUCUCUCCUACUUCCCUUCUCUCCCACAGGCGGAGUUCACAGCUCUAUACGGGGACGGGGCCCUGGAGGAGGCACGGCGUCUGCGGGAGGGGAACUGGGCAUCAGUGAGGACAGUGCUGACGGGGGCCGUGGCACUGGGGGCCCUGGUAACUGUAGGGGCCUUUUUUGCUAGCAAGUGAGAAAGUUCAGGGCCAGGUGGGGCUAGGUGUGGCUGGGGGCCAGGAGAGCAGGAACAGAGAACAAGAAGUGAAGUGAAUGGUUGGGCAUGGAACAGGGAAGGGGAGAGGUAGCAUGUGAGGGAACCAAGUGUGCCAGGCAGGUGAUUGGAAGAGUGAGCUACAGUUAUUAAGGAGUUUUAAGAAAAUCAGAGGACCAGGAGAUGGAGUCAUUCCAGGGUUUGGGGGGAGGUGGGAGGGAUCAUGCCUAUAGGUAUGGGCACAUGAAACUACCCAGAGAUGAAUUUGCAGCGCUGAGGAAGGUGGACUUGCAUAAGGAGUUGUGUCUCCCCUGGAUAAGUGGGUUUUGGGGAACUAGAAGGCAUAUCCCUUUGGAAUGGAAGCUUAGGGUUCUCAGGUGAUUGGGAGAGGUGGCUGUGGCUGUGGGCUGCUUGGACACAAGUGUGCAUGUGCACGGGUACUCGUGUGCAUGCUGGGCUGUUUGUCUAAUCUGGAGGUGGUUCAGAUUCUUCAAGGAGAAAACAUUCCCUUUUGCAGUGGCAAGAACAAGGGACAGUUCUCUGCCCCUCCUCCCAAACCCUCUUUUCCCUUCCCCUUGUCCAGAUGCCUCAAGGCUGAAGGAGAAACACUGUAUCCAGACGGAGGGCUCUGGCACUUCUCAGCAGAAAGUUGUUGGUAGGGCUUUGGAGAGAAAGCAAUUCUGCAGCUGGCCUUGUUCCUUCAUUACCCAUUUUCCUGUGCAUCAUGAACUUCCUGCUGCCUCCUGGGCUCUGACAGAAGUGCAGGGCUCUGGAGCAUGGGCAGGUGAAGGCUUCUUCAGUAGCUGGAUAUGCCUGCCACCCUCCCCUCCCACUGGGGCACAAUGGUGCCUAAUAGCUCUGGGACCUCUGUACCCAAACUGAAACUCUAAAUUGGGGCUCAAUUUUCCUUUUGAGGAUGUAGACAUAAAUGCUGAUCUAGAAUAUAGUCUGGGUCCCACACUGUUUCUCAGUGAGACUGUUGAUUCCUUGAAAAGACCAUUCUAGCUUGAGCCCUGUGGGGUGAGGGUGACAGGUACUCUAUGACUGGGCCUAUUCUGUGUUGUGGGCUUUGGUGCUGCUUUAUUAGGGGCAGGUGUAUGGGUUUGAGAGUACCUACCACGAUCUGGAAGCAUUUAUAUUUCAUUGAAGCCACGCUGUUUGCAUGGGUGUUGUUUGUCUGUACCUCAGAGUCUGAGGAUGCUAACUUUAGAACUCACAGUCCUCUAGAACAGAUUCAGGCUAUAGCUUUUUCUUUUAAAGAAGAAAUGAUUCACUCCAGAUGCAUGUCCUGAGCCAGACCUCACUGCUGCACUUUCCAAGGUGCUAAAAUUUGCUGCUCUCCAAUGCUGACUUCAUUCACAGUGCUCUAGAACCCUGCCCAUAAUCCUGAGCACUGAUCAGUUUAGCUAGACAUGGUUGACUCUUCUUGGAGAUUUUUACUUGGUCCCAGAAUAUGGCAACAUGGAUGUGUUUGUUAGAAAGUGGGACCAAAUUGGCCUCAGGUGUUUAGUCCAGACUUUUGCUUUUGAGAGAGGGCUGCACUUUUUAAUGGUCUCUAUGGGGGAGGUGGUAGACUGCAUAUGCCACUUGGUCUGUUGUGAGUAUGCUGAUAUUAGAAACUCAGAGCUGGUCUAUGGCAGGCAGUUGGGGUGGGGGGUCUGACUUGCUCAGGACUAACUAGGCCAGUGGUUUUCAAACUGCUUGGCAGAGCCCCAAAGUAUCCUAGGGGUUGCCUCAGGAGUCCUUGGGGAGAUGAAGGGGAUGGGGGCUGAGCAGGCUGGGCAACUUGCCCUCAAACAGAACAGCUCCUCUUGUAGCUGUCUUACAUACCGGGGUUCAGGGUAAGAUUUUAUUUGCAUUAAGGGUUUUGCUGCUGAAAAAUAAAAGUUGGAAAACCACUGACUAGACCAUCAGCUCCAAAUUGGAGCCUGUGCUCCCCAAGGUUUGGGGCAGACUCUUCACUCUACCCACUACCACAAGAUACUUAUCUGUGUUAGCAUUCCUGGGGGGCUUUAGCAAACUGGGGCAGCAGGGACCAUGAUCAGGUUACCAAAGUGCCCCAUUCUGAGGCCUUCACACCUGGGUGGAAGGAGAGGCUUUUUUAUGAAAGGGUAAAGGGCUUGGUCUGGAUUCCCAAAAGCAGAGCUUGGAUGAGAUCACAGUGGGCAGUUUUGACCUGUUUUGCCCUUCUUAGUUUGAGGAGCAGUGGAAACCCCAGAGACUCUUCUGUCAGGGAAAACUAGGGACUCUCUUCUAGAGCCAUAUAGUUCCUUGGGAUUAGCUCUUGGCCAAGAAGGCUGAGUAUGGCUCCCAGUUUUUAAAUUCAUUUAUUUUUUUUUAAUGAGGAAAAUAAAUGUAAUGGCCAUUUUUCAAAGAUUAAAUAGGUGGAGAGGGUGUUUCUUGCUCUCCAGAGCCCAAAGGGACAAAUAGGGACUUUGCUUAGGCCAAGGAAGGACUGGAAGUAGGGCAACUGGGUCCUGCGAUUAUUAAUUGUACUCCCCACUUAUUGUAGGGCAUACAUACACUAUUUUACUUUUUUAAAAUCAUAAAACGGCAGGAGAACAGAUUUGGUUAGUUUAGAAGAAAAGAAAAAGCUCUAUAAAUAUAAAUAUAUAUUCCUGUAUUUUUAUUUAAUAAUUUAUAAAUAUCAAGUUCAUUUGACUUUUAUUUUUGUGUAAUAUGUAAUGGUCGUAUUAAAAAAAUAAAUAAAGCCCAGAAGUUUAAUGAGAAGGACUGAACAGGGUUUUGUGACUUUAUACUGUAUAACUGGGGUCAGAACAUUCCUCGAUCCAAUCAUCUGUUCGUGAUAUUGCUAAGGGCAAGAAUUAGAGUUAUAGGGUUUUGGGAAACUGUUGAGAUUAAAAAAAAAAAAAUCAGAGUUGUUCUACCAUCUUC
rnacentral:lncRNA from 1 species